AGUAACAAUUUGGACAAGACAGCAAAUGCUAUUGUCCAAGUUUUCUAAAGAAGAAUCUGAAGUGAAAUGACAUCAAGAGACCUAUCAAGACCUGUAUCCAGGAAAAGGUUUAUAUGUGGAAGAGACUUGCCCUGUCUCAGGAAUUAGAGAAAGAACUAAUCAGUGUGAAGGAGAAUUGUCAGUAAAAUUACAAGAAAAGAUUGAGAUCAUAAUUGACCUUUGAGGAUAAUAAAAUUUAAAGACCAAAAGGAUGGACUUCACAGAAACAUGACCUUAGGUUGUUUUUGCAGUUGUAGUAACUGGUUAUAUGACCAACAAAAUAUGAAGAAUGGGUAAACAAAUUCUGAUAGUAAUGAUCAGUCACUUUGCAAAUAUAAAGUUACUAUUUACUACUGUAUUGUACAGGUUCAAUAA
rnacentral:lncRNA from 1 species